CACGCCCUAAACGAUGGAUGUUCGGUGUCGGCCCGCAAGGGUCGGUGCCUGAGCUAACGCGUUAAACAUCCCACCUGGGGAGUACGAUCGCAAGGUUGAAACUCAAAGGAAUUGACGGGGGCCCGCACAAGCAGUGGAGCAUGUGGUUCAAUUCGAUGCAACGCGAAGAACCUUACCUGGGUUUGAAAGGCUCUGUAAACCGGUGAAAGCCGGCUAGUGUAGCAAUACACGCGGAGUACAGGUGCUGCAUGGCUGUCGUCAGCUCGUGCCGUGAGGUGUUAGGUUAAGUCCUGCAACGAGCGCAACCCCUGCACUUAGUUGCCAUCAGGUAAUGCUGGGCACUCUAAGUGGACUGCCUACGCAAGUAGU
rnacentral:rRNA from 1 species